AUUUUGAACGAGUGGCGGACGGGUGAGUAACACGUGGGUAACCUGCCCUUAAGUGGGGGAUAACAUUUGGAAACAGAUGCUAAUACCGCAUAAAUCCAAGAACCGCAUGGUUCUUGGCUGAAAGAUGGCGUAAGCUAUCGCUUUUGGAUGGACCCGCGGCGUAUUAGCUAGUUGGUGAGGUAACGGCUCACCAAGGCAAUGAUACGUAGCCGAACUGAGAGGUUGAUCGGCCACAUUGGGACUGAGACACGGCCCAAACUCCUACGGGAGGCAGCAGUAGGGAAUCUUCCACAAUGGACGCAAGUCUGAUGGAGCAACGCCGCGUGAGUGAAGAAGGCUUUCGGGUCGUAAAACUCUGUUGUUGGAGAAGAAUGGUCGGCAGAGUAACUGUUGUCGGCGUGACGGUAUCCAACCAGAAAGCCACGGCUAACUACGUGCCAGCAGCCCCGCGGUAA
rnacentral:rRNA from 2 species